CUCCUCAUCAAAAACAUGACUCUGAUCUCCGUCUUCAUCUGGACUCUCCUCUGCUUCACUCAGGGGUCUGUUGGACAAAAUGUUGUCUUGACUCAGCCAGCAGCCAAAUCAGUGCAGCUGGGUCAAACUGUUUCUGUUGACUGUAAGGCCAAUCCAACAGUUACUCAAUACUCUGGUUUACAAUACUUCCUGGCCUGGUACCAUCAGAAAACUGGAGAAGCUCCUAAACUUCUGAUCAGACUAACAUCAGAAAGAGUUUCUACAAUCUCCAGAUACAGUGGAAGUGGAGCAGGGAACGGAGUUGACUUCACUCUGACCAUCAGUGGAGUUGAUGCUGCAGAUGCAGGAGUUUAUUACUGUCAGAGUUAUCAUUCUAUCAACAGUCAGGCUGUGUUCACACAGUGAUACAACGUCGUACAAAAACCUCCCUCAGCUGGAGAGGAACUGAUCUGACUCAACAGCUGCACUGAAACUAAAACAACAGAAGCUUGACUAAACUAAAAUAUAUUUAAUAAUAA